UGUCUUCUCUCUUGAUGAAGGACAGUGCUUUGAUCAUUGUCAUUCAGCCUUGACUUGGCCUGAGGUUUAGGUUCUCAGCCUAGAAGACAGUAGGCUAUCUUCUCUCUCUCUCUCUCUCUCUCUCUCUCUGACACACACACACGUACGUUUGCUGGUCUGUGCAGGCAGAUUAGUGUCACAGCUGUAACUGAGGCACAGAGCAAUAAACAUAGCAGAAGCAAUUUCCAUGGUGGCAAGAGGGGGCACGGGAGGUGACGACAAUGAGAAGGAUCUCUUCUUCUGACAAGUUUUAGAUACUACAGGCUUAUUGAACAAUCCAUCGACCCUUCUGUAGUGAGUCCACUUAGUGCAGAAUGGCUGCAGGGAAACUAUUCAGACAUCCCGAUUGGAACAAAUCCCUUCAGGAUUUAACGCAGGAAGCACGGGACGUUUACGCAGGUACGAUAAAUAAAUGAAUAUUGGACUACAUCACAUAGGUCCUGGAGAACAAAAGAGGCUUUGCACUGAAAUACCUCCAAAGCUUUCUGAAAAUGCUAAUAGAGAGAAGUUUUCCUGGCAUGAAAAAGUAAAUCAUGCACAAAGUUAGUUGAACAACAUUUUAUACAUCACUCAUCCUGUUACAUCCAUGAAGCUGAUCCAUUUCCCUAUAAGGACGAAUCUUUGGCUGACCUCGUUGAGAUGAAUGAAGAACAUGGCAGAUGAAAUGAGAAGGAGGGGAUUAUCCAUCUGAAAACUGAGGACAUCCAGUUAAAGCUCAUCUUCUUUUAAUCUUCAUGGUUUAUCAAUGCAAGAAAAAGGCAGUGGCUGACAGAGGCAAAGGAAGUUCUUCUUACUGCUCUCAGUGGAUGAUUGAUCAUACCCGCCAGCUGGCUAAUAUCAUAAUUAACAAAGUUGCUACCACGUCUGAGAAGUAUAAUCGAAAAAUUUACCAGCAGCGUGAUGCCAUUGUCACAAAGAUCAUAAGCACUGCAGAGUCAACUUUUGCACUCGGGAGCUGCAGAACUAUGUAGAUGUGCUGAGAAGGGGUGCACUUGUACAGCUAAAGAUGUAAAAACUGAGAACAAUGUCUGAGCUGCUAUCUAGAGACCCAAUUCACAUUGCAUUUAUAAAACAUUCUUGAGAUGCGAUUGCAGAAAGAGGAGGAUUUAGUUCUGGCAAAACUAGUCCAGUGGCAAAGUGCAGAACUGAUGUGGCUGUCAUGGUAAAGGAAUUCCAGAAUAAAGAACCAUUGUCUGAAGCUAAUCUUUACAUGCAGGAGCUAGAUGGUAUCAAUGGGAAAAAAUGGGAACUCAUUAAAGAG